rnacentral:rRNA from 1 species
UACAGAGACUGCAAGCGUUAUUCGGAUUCACUGGGCGUAAAGGGUGCGCAGGCGGUUGGGUGUGUCAGAUGUGAAAUCCCGAGGCUUAACCUCGGAACUGCGUCUGAAACUACUCGACUAGAGUACUGGAGAGGGAAACGGAAUUCACGGUGUAGCAGUGAAAUGCGUAGAUAUCGAUGAGGAACACCAGAGGCGAAGGCGGUUUCCUGGACAGUUACUGACGCUCAGGCACGAAAGCAUGGGGAGCAAAAGGG